ensembl:lncRNA
GACCACUUCUCAGCUUAUAACAACAGAGAGUCUAUUUUUAAAGAUCAGUGUGAAACAACUAGGAUAUUGAGAACUGGAGACAAGUUAAGCAGCAUCUUGAGAUGUGCCGUCAGAAACCUGAAACUGUCUUCCUGACUGCAGACAGGAAGAUGUUUUGAAGCCAAUCAAGGAGCUGUGGCAUUAUGUACACUGAUUGCAGCUGGGGAGGAUGCCAGAUUGAACAUCUGCUUCUGAUCGAAGUUGAAAACGGCAGUUGUUGCAGAAUCACAAGGUAUCCUCAUGGCAUUGCCUUAGUAUUUAUGUGAUCUUGAACAAGAUGCCAGCGAGCGUGCACGCUAAGUCACUUCAGCUCGGUCCGACUAUUUGUGACCCACCAGACUGCAGCCCACCAGGCCCCUUGCCCAAGGAUUCUCCAUGAAGGAAUACAAAAAUCUAUCAAGAAUCUGUAAAGCAGUUCAGAGGCUGGGGAAUACGUAGGUAAUGGCUGAC